UAGCUAAUGAAAGUUACAGCACACUGAGGCGCGAAAAGGCGUUAAUUUUCUUUUAUCUCUCCGUUUUAGCCGCGUUGACAGCGAUGUUGCACAGUCGCAUUUAACUGUUUCCGCGUCGAGCAUAUCCUAACUUACAAUAUUGACCGUUUUUUCAGACGCUGGAAACAGUUGGCGGUGUACGUCUGUACGGUUUGGAAAAAUGCUGGUGUGAAUAUAUUUGACGGUGCGUGUAUUUGGAAGCUUGAAGUGCUUGGGGGAGCUAGGGUGGUCGGAACUGGGCAGGAUUCGUGGAGGCAUCCGUUGGGUGAGUGUGCUGACAUCAAUUGUAUCGCCUUUUGUUGUACAUCUCUUCGCUUACCUCUACAUCCUAUACGUUCACCUCAGCUGGUACAGUCUGAUCGUAUAGCUGGAACUCUCUACAUCAACUCGGCCUACACUCCUGUCCGUUGCUUAUCUGUCCUACUGACUAUAUCCCGCAUUAACGAGAAGACCCUUGGGCUGUAGAGUCAACAAACAACGAUCCAAGAUGAGCGUGUCCACAGCUGUCGCCGCUUCCACGCGGCCACGAAAAGAAUCCCGGACGUCGAGUCCCAAAUUCAAGACAACACCUUCCGCCCAGCAGACCGAGUCGGAAGAGGAGAUCGCUCAGAGCCAAUUUGCUUUCAGACAGAAGCGGAGGAACAAUCCCGGUAAGCAGUGCUGUAUCCUGAUGGUGCUUGGUCACAUGAUCAUCGGUGCUGCCCUUCUCCUUCAAGACGGCGGCCAUUUUGGCAACCUCUUUUUGGAUGUCUCGUGACUUAACUCCCGCCAAGUUGUGGUAGAUGAUAGUAAUGCUCGGUCAAGUUUGUUCUCGACUCGGAACAGAUCGACUGUCAUCGCCAAGGUUCGGAACGCUCUUUGUUUGCAGGUCCCUUUGGACCGUGUGGUUCUUGGGCCGCGUCACGAACAAAACAAUAUCGGCUUGAGUUAACUGAAGAUUGCUUAUCAUGGACGGUGUCGUUUUUCAGAACAUUUUAGGUUUUUAGUGGGUUGACACUCUGCAUGGCGAAAAGCGUACGAAUCAUUCCCGAAGCUACACAGUUACAGCAUGAAUGAAGUAAUUGUUUACUGAAGAAAACAAUACGAUCUAAAGAUGGACAAUACAACUAAAAUUCAGCAAAGUUUCACAAAGGUCUACCCAACAAAUGAAAUUGUGUGUAUGAAGCUUAAUACCGGAUCCAACUCUAGGAUCAAUUACUGAUAUAAUCCUUGUAACUUUAAACGACGACGUUCGUACUUAACGACGAGAAAAUACACUUCAUAAUUAUAAUCGACGAUUGUUCUGACGUCGAUGGACAUAAUUUCGACGAGAUUUCGUUCAAAGGAUUCUAGACUGGAAUUCAAAAGUGAUGUUUUAUUUUCGGACAAAAGCAUCUUUUCUUAUGUCGCCACGGAUCAUUAUUAUAUUCGUAAUUAAUGUUUCAUAUAUUCAGCACAUAUAUUGAAAAUGUCACUAUUUUUGCUGUUUUCCAAUCUCAUUGGUUAUUGGUUGUGCAAUAUGUAAUUUAUUACCAUAUAUUUAUGUGCUGCAUGCAGUUAGUGAUUAUAAUCCUAACGUGACAUAUGUUUGACUUGUAUAAACAGAGAUGAUACAGCAUACAAUUUAUUUGAAUCUUUAUUUUAUUUUAUAGAAGUGAUAUAUGUGAGGAGAUGUGUAUGACUUUGACGGUGAUUUUAUAUUGUAACUUUAUUGCCAACGCAUCAAACAUUUUCGGUCUUCAAAAAGUCGAUAAAAUCUCGACUACCCCAGUAUAACUUCGUCUGGUAGUCUCCCAGAUGUAUACGCCCGGGUUUCCAGUUUACUUGACGCAAACGAGGCUGCAAUAGGCAGCCAGACAUGAAAUAUAUGCCAUGUAUGACAAACCAUGCUCUUUACAAUUCGUCUGGUCGACCAUGAUGUUGGUGGGAACAGUAUUACACGUAACCGUAUUGUUAUUGUAUAUAGGGUGGGCAAUACACAUAAGCUUCCUCUCAGACUGGCACAGUCGUCUCUCCUCCAAAAUUGCAAUCCGAAACCUUUGUGUCCGGAACUACAAACUAGCCCUUGUACAUUUGAGUACCGUAUUCACAUUUGCUUUUUCCAAUAUCCGUUGUAAAAAAUGGCUCAUUUAUUAUACACGCUACCCGGGGAACUAGCUUUUCAUUAUCUUCUGGAUAUCCAUGUAUGCAGCAGAUCAUGCAACAGUUGCAGGAUAAAAAAAAUAGUUAUUACAUUUUUUCAUUGAAAACCCUGUGUCAGAUGAAGGUAAUGUUACACGGUUUAAUUUCUUGCAACCAUUUUCCGUAUCAUGUGCAAGUCGUAAGAAAAUUUGGUUGUUUACAGUAAAGUUGAUACUAAAACUGGAAUGUGUGAACAAGAUUCUGUGUGAAUAUACAGAAUUUCUGGUCAUUUCCAAGCCGUUUAGACCUGUCCAUUAUUAAAUAAUAAUUUAAUAGUCUGUCAUUUUACAUGAUAUAUAUGUAAUUGCUGUAAAUGGCCCGAUGCAGAUUUUUGUACUAAUUUGCCUAACGGGGUCACAAUAUUUAAUGUCCAACUUAACUUGAUGAAUUUGCUUAAUCAGCUUAAUAAAGUAUUUUAACAGCGGCAAGACCAAAGGUGCUAUAUGAAGUCUUCGAAGCCAUUGCAUAUGGUCACUUGAGCAGUAUUUUGUGACAGGCUUGUAAACACGAUACGUCUUGAACUCAUUAACAGUUUUCAUGUAACUUGUAUUACACAUAUUCACCUUUCCAUCCUAUUGUUUCUCAGUGACCUUGACCCAUGUUUGCAAGGUCGUUGGGCAUGUGCCUCACUUAUCUUUUCAACAUUGUUCUCUCUUGGAUAUUAUAAUAUAAUAAUGACAUGCAUCCAUGGUCGGAUUAAGUCAUGUCAGAUGUGUGUAGACGUUUAGUCCAUAGCUAUAUACGGAUACAGAAUAAACAGUAGUCACUUGUUAAUCUAUGUAUGUGUUAUACCUAAAACUAAUUUUACUUAAGUUACUAUAUAUCCGUGUCUGAGUUAAUCAAACAGAAUGGUUCUGUAUAAGUCCUUAAAGUCCAUGGAACUUUUU